GAAUCGCGAGAUUCUGCUGUGUACAGCGCGUGGUCGCAACGUGAUUUGAAGUGCUGCUCAUGCGGUGGAGUGCUGAGGCCAUUAGACGCCUGUUAAAAUAACAACAAACGCACAUAUAGUGACUUGGAAGUCUGUCUUAGUGUGUUGUGAGGAUUGUGUGUUGUGCUGUGGGAACUUUGAAAUUCUGUCGACUCGAGAAGAUGCAUACCUAUGUGGAGAAAUCCGAUCGACAAUAAAUCUCGAAGCGUGAGUGAUUAAUCAUAACUAAUGUCAGUUUAUCAUUGAGAAUAUUUUGUUGUGUAUGAUGUAAUCUGAACAUUAAGUGAUUGGUGAUCAUUUUGGUUGAUUAAAGAGGGGAGAGGAGUAUUCUAAAGGCCUCCUGAGUGUUUGUUUCCAGGCCGAGUGUGAAGCAACAGAGUGAGUGUUGUUAACUAAUUAACGUUAAUCCUAAAAAAAUGUUUGCUGCUUAUACGUGUGUUUAUGGCAAUCCGUUGAUUGUUAAAUAAUAGCUAAUUAAUUAAAACAUUAGAAGCAAAUAACAGACUGUAAUGGGACAUGGUUGGGGAACUACAAGUCCCAUCAGCCCCAGCGCUAUAUAAGGAAGUAGUGAGGUUUGUUUGUCCUCUCACUUCCUUUCCGUGAUCGUGUGUUGUGGAUGUCGUGUGUGUUGUGGAGGCGGCACACUUAAAGCUUCAAAGAUUGAGCCCUUCAGAAGGAUAGUAGCAGAUAAGCAGCUAUGUUAACGUCAUGGAGAGCUGAGUACUUGUUGCACACCAUUUAGGAGUGUUUUUGCCGGAUUAUUGCCUGACUGAUUGUUGCCUGAGUGCCAGUCAGAAAUAUCGGAUGUUUGAGGGAUGAACGGUUACUGUUUACUUUGAUUGAAUUUUCUUUGGUUUAUUUAUUAUUUUGUCUUAUGUUGGACCAAGUGGGAAAAACCCCAGACCAUAAACUAAGUGUGAUGGUUCAAUGGUGCUGCUGACUUGUUUGUCCUACUGGCAUUACCCACGGUUAAUCUGUUUUUCUUUCCUUUUUGUAGAUUUCUUUUUUUCCCAACGAUGGCUGCGUGGUUACCCUCACUGUAUGGAUGGCGGUGGUGAGGUGGCUGGGAUCGUGUGGUGUUGGUCACUUUAUUUGUAUUUUUGCCUUUAGGGAUGCAGUGUGAUUGCUGUGAGUUUUGCUGUGGUGAGAGCACUUUUCAGGACUACUGCCUUCACGAUAUAGGUAACCUGUGGCCAUCCGUGGGUUGUUGUUUUUGUUUCUUAUUUUUUUGAACCACCGUUUGUACCACAAUACGCCGUAAUUUGCGGCGUCUUUUCGUGUUAAACGCCGUAAACACCGGCGUUUUGAGAAUGAAACGCGUUUGGAAAGUGGCGAAAUGUGAACCAAAUGGCUUUCCAUAGAUUGACUCGUCAAACGCGUGCGUUUCGACAGCCAAGGGACGCGCGAUUUGCCAUAAAAUAUAACAUCUUGACGACAUUUAUAAAAUAUAACAACUUGACCAUAUUUA